rnacentral:lncRNA from 1 species
GCCUACCGUUGCAGCCAGGGCGAGGGCCGCGGCCCGCGAGAGCAGCUCCCGCCGCCCGCCCAGCUCUCUCCCCAGGCUAGGCGCGGGCCAGGGGCGCAGCCUGCCGCUCUUGCCGCCGGGGCGCCCGGCUGGGGCCGCCGCCCACCCUGGCGACCCGCCAGAACCAGCCCGGUCGCAGGAUAAGACCGAGAUCAGGCUGGAGCCUCGGGUGCCGAGAAAGCCUCGCCUGAUGGGCCACCCAAGCCCCUGCAGAUGACUGUCACACCCCAUGGGCGCUCAGUUUUGUUUUUAAACCCAUAGGGGAGACAGUUUCCGGACGCCCAACAAUCACAGGGCGGCCCAGGACCGAGAGAGAGCAAUAGACUCGCCUCUUGCUUCCGCAUCCCCAGUUCUGGUCCAGGUGGCACUGAACCCAAUUAUCUCCAAGGACGGCGAGAGUCAGCCAGGGCCGGCAGGAACCAUCACAUUAUGCUCCUUGGGGAGGAGGAACGCUGUUGGUGCCCUCUUAGCACUUAAGAGACACAGAGUUUUAGGGCUAGAGGGGUCUUCAGCGAUCAUCUAAUUAAAACCCCGUAUGUUUAACAUAUGAAGAAACGGAUGCCCAGAGAGGUGAAGUCCUGCCUGAGGCUGCAUCGGUGGAACCAGAGUCUAGGGGAAGCCUCCUGAGUCCCAGUCCAGUGCCCUGGCUCACUGCUCUCAUCUAAGACUUCUGUCUGUAUUGAAUUGUCUCUGCUCCUACCACCUAUUUGAGUAUGACUUUCUUCUUUCUGAUUAAUUCCUCCACACUCUUCCCAAAAGGAAGUGUCUAAAACGGGGAGCCAUAAGUUUCAUGGCUUUGAAACCGGAGACUUUCAAACUCAGAGCUUCACAUCUUAUUAACUAUGUGACUUUGGACACUGUGCUCAUUUCUCUAGGCCUGUUUCCUUAUAUGUAAAAUGAGGAUAAAAACAUCUCCCUUAUCAGGUUAUUGCGAGGAAUAAAUGAGUUGAGGAUAAGGGAAUUAAGUACUAGGUAAAAGCACCUAGUACUAUGCCUAAAACAUAGUAGGUGAGCAACAAAUACAACUUUCCUUCCUUCUGAUCAGGUAGCAGGAUGACCAGUGGGUCCUUGCACCUGCUAUGUCCUGUUAACACAAUUGUUAGCCCAAGGCUUGUCUGAGUUCUCAGAGAACCUUAAAGCAGAGCAUGGUAUAAGUAGAGAUGCUGGGUGGACCCUGGUGUGAAUCUCACCUUUCCCAUGUACCAGCUGUCUGGCCAGGUUAUGUAAUUCUUGACUCAGUCAUUGGAUCUAUAAAAUAAGGGUGUUAUUAGGAUUAGGGAUACUGUGUGUAAAGUGUCCUGCACGUAGGAGACACCUAAUAAAUGGUGACUAUUAUUAUAGUAAAAGUUCAGGCGAGGCCAAGGAAGAAAGACUGGAACAGGAGCCAGCAGCUUCGGCACUCACCCCUUACUUGUGCUGUGCCUCUGCAUCCUGCUCUGCCUGCCACCUGGAGCUAAGGUGGAACUUGACUUGAAACUGCAUGCUGGAGUAGAAAUGAAUUUAGUUGAGUAUUUUUCCUCAAAAUGUUUUCUCUCCAUAUCAGUCUACCAUGACCAUGAGGAUUCUCUUCUUAAAUCAACCCAAAUUCCUUCCCUUCACUGGUCUAACAGGCGGUCAGAUCAUUAUUUCAAGAUACUCUGAGACGGAAGCAGUUGGAAUUGUGUAGUUUGAAAGAAGGCUUGUGGUGACUGGAGGACAUUAUUAAACUCAUUAGCACAUAAGGAGAUGACAGUUUCUUCAGUCUCUAAUAAAAGAGAAUUUGAUAAAGUAAAUGCAGAUACUUGAAGGAGUAGGAAGGUUCAGAACAAAAACUAAAGCAAAUAACAUGUAUGAGGCAAUGAGGUGUAUUUGCCUGUCUGUCUGUCUGAGCCGAUUCACAAAGUUGUCCCUGCAAGAAGCCAUGCCUAUAUGGCUGUGUUUACUUCUUUACCUGUAUUACAUCCAAUUCCAGGAGCUCCUUUUAUAUUUAUUUGAUAACAGUGCAGUAUCACUGAGAAUUCCAUCAUUUAUUCAUCAACUAGAAGUUGAAGACUUACAAUAUUUAAAGCACUAUGAUAAACUAGAUUUCUCCAUUACA